GGGAGUUGUUUCGUCGGCCGGGCCGGCACCCGACUAUAAAUCGGGACCUCAUCGAGGCUGUGGUUCGACUCCACCGGCUCCCACCA
rnacentral:tRNA from 1 species